CACACCGCCCGUCACACCAUGGGAGUUGAUUGCACCAGAAGUAGGUAGCCUAACCGCAAGGAGGGCGCUUACCGCGGUGUGGUCAAUGACUGGGGUG
rnacentral:rRNA from 1 species